rnacentral:rRNA from 1 species
GAUGAACGCUAGCGGCAGGCUUAAUACAUGCAAGUCGAGGGGCAGCACGGGUAGCAAUACCUGGUGGCGACCGGCAAACGGGUGCGGAACACGUACGCAACUUUCCCAAAACUGGUGAAUAGCCCUCCGAAAGGAGGAUUAAUACACCGUAACAUAAUGAAGUGGCAUCACUUUAUUAUUAUAGCUCCGGCGGUUUUGGAUGGGCGUGCGCCUGAUUAGGUAGUUGGCGGGGUAACGGCCCACCAAGCCUUCGAUCAGUAACUGGUGUGAGAGCACGACCAGUCACACGGGCACUGAGACACGGGCCCGACUCCUACGGGAGGCAGCAGUAAGGAAUAUUGGACAAUGGGCGAAAGCCUGAUCCAGCAAUGCCGCGUGAGUGAUGAAGGCCCUAGGGUUGUAAAGCUCUUUUACCAGGGAUGAUAAUGACAGUACCUGGAGAAUAAGCUCCGGCUAACUCCGUGCCAGCAGCCGCGGUAAU